rnacentral:rRNA from 1 species
AGCGAACGCUGGCGGCAGGUCUAACACAUGCAAGUCGAACGGACCCUCCGGGGUUAGUGACGGACGGGUGAGUAACACGUGGGAACGUGCCUUUAGGUUCGGAAUAGCUCCUGGAAACGGGUGGUAAUGCCGAAUGUGCCCUUCGGGGGAUAGAAUUAUCGCCUUUAGAGCGGCCCGCGUCUGAUUAGCUAGUUGGUGGCGUAACGGACCACCAAGGCGACGAUCAGUAGCUGGUCUGAGAGGAUGAUCAGCCACAUUGGGACUGAGACACGGCCCAAACUCCUACGGGAGGAAGCAGUGGGGAAUCUUGCGCAAUGGGCGAAAGCCUGACGCAGCCAUGCCGCGUGAAUGAUGAAGGUCUUAGGAUUGUAAAAUUCUUUCACCGGGGACGAUAAUGACGGUACCCGGAGAAGAAGCCCCGGCUAACUUCGUGCCAGCAGCCGCCGCCGUAA